UCAAUUCGGUCCAAAAACAAUCGGGAUGAACCUUUCAUCACUUUCCUGUGAACUUUGGCCGUGCCUUUGGGCAGCCAGCCAUUCCGCAACCGAAACGUGUCCGUCCCCCCAUGGCGACUGCCGUGGCGCUUGCCGCUCCUCUCCGCCUUGCGCCGUCGCGGCGCUGGAGGUUCUCCGCCGACUUGCGGGCGGAACCUCCUUCCCGCCUAUCGAGCCGAAGGGGGGCCAGCGCCAGUUUCCCGACGGCGGCCGCGACGGUCCCCAAGGUCCUGGACGACUCGGUCAUCGAGCCAUACGGCAUAAGGGAUUACAUCGAGCGGUCGAGGGAGUUGAUAAAGCCGGACGGUGGUCCGCCGCGGUGGUUCUCGCCGCUCGAGUGUGGGGCUCGAGGAACGGACUCGCCGUUGCUGCUCUACUUGCCUGGAAUCGAUGGAACUGGGCUUGGAUUAAUUCGACAUCACCAGAGAUUGGGAAAGAUUUUUGAUAUUUGGUGCUUGCAUAUUCCGGUAAUGGACAGAACAUCAUUUGAAGGUCUUGUUGAAUAUGUCGAAAGAACAAUCAACUCUGAAAAGUCUUACUCACUGAACAAGCCAAUAUAUCUUGUUGGCGAAUCCAUUGGUGCAUGUCUUGCUCUUGCUGUCGCAGCACGCAACCCAGAUUUUGAUUUGGUUAUGAUUUUGGCCAAUCCAGCUACGUCCUUCUUGAAGUCUCAGCUUCAGUCUGUCUCAACUUUCUUAGGGAUCCUGCCUGAACCACUGCAUGUUACAAUCCCAUAUUUUGUUAAUUUCAUUACAGGAUAUCACUUGACAUUUAGGGAUCUACCUGACAACUUCAAUGACAUGUUGGCUGACCUUUCUUUUCUGGUUGAUAUUUUACCAAAAGAAUCUUUUGUCUGGAAAUUAGAUUUGCUGAAAUCAGCUGCUCUUUUUGUGAAUUCUCGUCUUCAUGUUGUGAAAGCUCAGAUAUUGAUUCUAGCCAGUGGGAGGGAUCAAUUAUUGCCAAGCCAUGAAGAAGCUGAGAGGAUUUGCAGUAAUUUGCCAAAUUGUCGAAUCCGUCAUUUCAAGGAAAGUGGUCACACCAUGUUCCUGGAAAGUGGCAUUGAUUUGGUAACUAUAAUAAAGGGCGCUGGCUACUAUCGUCGUUCAUCACAGAUUGACUAUGUGUCAGAUUAUUUAUUGCCAACUCCACUUGAGUUCCAACAGGCAACAGAAAUUUAUAGAUGGUUUGAUCUUGCCACCAGCCCUGUGAUGCUGUCAACUUUACAAAAUGGUAAAAUAGUAAAGGGCCUUAUGGGUAUUCCAUCAAAAGGACCGACUUUGCUUGUGGGAUAUCAUAUGUUGUUGGGUCUAGAGCUUGGUAUCAUGUUCUCAAGGUUCUUUACUGAGAAAAGGAUCCAUCUUCGAGGCCUUGCUCAUCCAUUUAUGUUUAAUAGGGCUUCUGAACAGCUAAUGCCUGAUUCAUCAUCAUUCGAUGGACAUAGACUCAUGGGUGCUGUUCCUGUCUCAGCAACCAAUUUCUAUAAGCUUCUGUCUAUGAAGUCCUUUGUCUUAUUAUACCCAGGAGGUGCACGUGAAGCACUUCACAGAAAGGGUGAAGAAUACAAGUUGUUUUGGCCUGAAAAAUCAGAGUUCAUCAGGAUGACAUCGAAGUUUGGAGCCACAAUAAUUCCAUUUGGUGUUGUUGGAGAAGAUGACAUGUGUGAUGUCAGACCAGUAUGGUGUCCUUGCUGACUUAUACCUGUGUCAGUAGGAUGGAAUGAGUCACACUAAUCAGACCACUCAGUGUCAAAACUGGACUGUUCCUUUCUUUCCUUUAAUUAUGAUAUUUUUAAUUUGUGAACUAUCAUUUAUCAUAUAAAGAUAUGUUGGCCCAUACAUAUGUUGGCUCAUAAAUUUUGAUGAUCAUAAAUUGAUGACAUGCAUACAUGAUAUAUGUCUCAGUUGUCCCCUACUAGCACCAAAAUAUGUGUUAGCUGGUGAGCUGCUUGUGGUGGGAAAUCAAUGUUAUAUUGUAUAACUUAUACGUGUUGAAAUCUGAGAAUGAUAUGAUAUUGUUUUUUUUUAUGUCACAUGGUGUUGUUAGAAAUUGUCCCACAUGUUAUUCAUGUGAACAAUAUCAAUAAUUUGAUUAUUGAUAGGGAAGGGUGAAAGCAAAUAUAUGGCCUAGUACAGCUCUUUACCUAAUGUGGGUGGAAAGGGAUGGCCUUGUGGUGGUAAUAAUGACCACAUCAGUCUCUUGAACACUACUAAUAUAUGUAUGGGCAACGAGAUCCCUUUUACUCAACAAAUUGAGACCGGUCAGCAUCAUACUCUAGCUCAUGAAAUCCAUAUUGACAGGAAGGUAGUGACCAUAAGGAAAUCCUAUCAAACUCAAUAAUUGUGAGGCUCUUUCAUCCCAUUGGAAUUAUUAUCUUACCCUUGGAGUUUUUCUUCUCAUAAAAUUUGCAAUACUUUGAGUCAAGAUCUUCAUCCUAGGUGGCACAAGUAUGGCUUUUCUCCACUGUCUACAUGCCACCUCCAUGGGAGAAAAUAGGAUCCUUGGCCUCCAACAUUACUACCAAUGCAUCCCUAUCGCCAUUUUGGACAUCACGAAGACAAAUAUUAAAAUGGAGGAGAGGUUUUGUCAUACUCAUCGAGUUGUUGCUCAAUAGGUCAAUUGGUUGUGAUGAAUGAUUUCACUCUUUCCAUGGCUGUGGAGGAUUUAUUUUCUGCACCAUGAUCCAAGAAUGACUAACUUCCUAGGGCAUGACCCAUUGAGGAUCAAAUUCUUAUUCCACUAUCACAUCCUAAUAUGAGGCUUUCAUAUCUAGCUAGCAUCAUCAUCAUCCUCACUUGGAGUUGCCCUUAAUGAGGGCUAAGAUUAGGCCUUGGUGACUCAAGAAUAAUCAUCCUUACACUCUUCUCUAGUUUGUUUUUAAAUAAUCAUAGAUGGCAAUGGUGGAUCUCCAGCUUUGUUAGAUCAUUCUGAUUAUGAGCCUCAUGUAGCUUGUCUAACAUGAGAAUUGACUCAUCUUGUAUAAAUUGAAAAUUAAAUGAAUCUGCCUUGGCCUUUUCCCUCUCUUUAUCCGUAAUCAUAUACCAGUUUCUCCAAGCAUAUAUAUGAAAUAUGAUUUCAAAUUUAUGUAUCAAAAUGGACCAAAUUCGCUUGUAUCUGUAGGAUGAUGAGAUGUGUGAUGAGCCCUACACAAUAAUUUUCUUCAACUGAGAUGCAUGUUUUCCAUGUAGUAAAUCAUUUAGUUGCAAAAUUAUGUUCAUAAAUUGUUUUUUGAUGAUGUCUAAGCUAAUAUAAAGAAAAAAUUAUAUCAAGCAUUAUGUGUCACUCGUGUUGACGCUAAAAGUUCCACAAGGCUCUCAAGCCAAGCACCUUUAAAGGUAAGAGAGGUCAAUAAGUUACCAUGUGUUUGAGACAAUAAUUACUCAUCAUUUUUUUUCUCUCAUUAAUAGCAAUGGUCUCAUCAUGGACAUUUGGUUUUAGUAUGUUGAUAGCAUUGCAAAGGACAAAGACAUUCCUCAUUUAAGGUGAGGUUGUACCAGCACUGAAGGUUGAAUUUAGAUAGGAAUUUAUAACAUUAUUGUUAUUGAAAAUUUACAUUGUAUAGAAGACAAAAAUUAAACUGCAAUUUACUUAUCAUCCCCUUCGGAGUGUAACAAAGUUCAUAAAUCACUUUUCUAUCCAUGUCAACAUUCUGCAGGUUACGUAAAGAGGUUCCAUUUUAACAAUGAUUUCUAUCACAUUCCCAAAAUUUGGGAGAUAAGAAUUGCCUGUCCACCACCUUUUCCUUGAUUGAGAAGGUCCUGCUUGACUAUGAAGAUCUUGUCAAAAUUCCAUUUUACGAUACUUUAAAUAAGAGGAUAAAUCAAGAUGGUGUGCGGUU